rnacentral:rRNA from 1 species
UACGAAAGGUGCUAGCGUUGUUCGGAAUUACUGGGCGUAAAGCGCACGUAGGCGGCCUUGUAAGCUGGGGGUGAAAUCCCCGGGCUCAACCCGGGAACUGCCUUCAUGACUGCAAAGCUAGAGGAUGCGAGAGGUUAGCGGAAUUCCGAGUGUAGAGGUGAAAUUAGUAGAUAUUCGGAAGAACACCAGUGGCGAAGGCGGCUAACUGGCGCAUUUCUGACGCUGAGGUGCGAAAGCGUGGGGAGCAAACAGG